UACGUAGGCAGCAAGCGUUGUUCGGAGUUACUGGGCGUAAAGGGUGCGUAGGCGGCUUUUUAAGUUUGGUGUGAAAUCUCCCGGCUCAACUGGGAGGGUGCGCCGAAUACUGAGAGGCUAGAGUGCGGGAGAGGAAAGUGGAAUUCCUGGUGUAGCGGUGAAAUGCGUAGAUAUCAGGAGGAACACCGGUGGUGUAAACGGCUUUCUGGACCGUAACUGACGCUGAGGCACGAAAGCGUGGGGGAGCAAACGGGG
rnacentral:rRNA from 1 species